CCUACGGGAGGCAGCAGUGAGGAAUAUUGGUCAAUGGACGAGAGUCUGAACCAGCCAAGUAGCGUGAAGGAUGACUGCCCUAUGGGUUGUAAACUUCUUUUAUAUGGGAAUAAAAUGUUCCACGUGUGGGAUUUUGUAUGUACCAUAUGAAUAAGGAUCGGCUAACUCCGUGCCAGCCGCCGCGGUAAUACGGAGGAUCCGAGCGUUAUCCGGAUUUAUUGGGUUUAAAGGGAGCGUAGGUGGAUUGUUAAGUCAGUUGUGAAAGUUUGCGGCUAAACCGUAAAAUUGCAGUUGAAACUGGCAGUCUUGAGUACAGUAGAGGUAGGCGGAAUUCGUGGUGUAGCGGUGAAAUGCUUAGAUAUCACGAAGAACUCCGAGUGCGAAGGCAGCUCACUGGACUGCAACUGACACUGAGGCUCGAAAGUGUGGGUAUCAAACAGGAUUAGAUACCCCAGUAGUC
rnacentral:rRNA from 1 species